ACGCACGCUGGCGGCGUGCUUCACCCAUGCCAGUCGAACGGUGAAGCGCCUUCCUUUUUGGUGGGUGUGGAUGAGUGGCGAACGGGUGAGUAACACGUGAGUAACCUGCCCCCUUCUUCUGGAUAACCGCAUGAAAGUGUGGCUAAUACGGGAUAUUCUGGGUCUGUCGCAUGAUGGGUCUGGGAAAGAUAUUGUUUCGGUGGGGGAUGGGCUCGCGGCCUAUCAGCUUGUUGGUGGGGUGAUGGCCUACCAAGGCGGUGACGGGUAGCCGGCCUGAGAGGGUGGACGGUCACACUGGGACUGAGACACGGCCCAGACUCCUACGGGAGGCAGCAGUGGGGAAUAUUGCACAAUGGGCGCAAGCCUGAUGCAGCGACGCCGCGUGAGGGAUGGAGGCCUUCGGGUUGUGAACCUCUUUCGCCAGUGAAGCAGGCCUGCCUCGUUUGUGGGUGGGUUGACGGUAGCUGGAUAAGAAGCGCCGGCUAACUACGUG
rnacentral:rRNA from 1 species